rnacentral:rRNA from 1 species
UACGUAGGGUGCAAGCGUUACUCGGAAUUAUUGGGCGUAAAGCGCAUGCAGGCGGUUUGGUUAGUCUGAUGUGAAAGCCCCGAACUCAAUUCGGGAAGUGCAUUGGAUACUGCCAGACUAGAGUACAGGAGGGGUGAGCGGAAUUCCAGGUGUAGAGGUGAAAUUCGUAGAUAUCUGGAGGAACAACAGCGGCGAAGGCGGCUCACUGGACUGUAACUGACGCUCAGAUGCGAAAGCGUGGGGAGCAAACAGG